AAUCAAGUUCCCCAAUUUAUAUGAGCUGGAGCUUGGAUUCCUGGGAUGCCUCACUCACUUUUGCAGUGACAAUGUUGAGGGCAUUGAGUUCCCUCUGUUACGUAAAAUGCGCUUCUUUAAGUUAUCUGAGUUCCAAAAUUUCUGGCCUACAACCAACAACUCCAUCACUCACUCACAUCCUCUUUUUCAUGAAAAGGUUUCUUGUCCCA
rnacentral:misc_RNA from 1 species